CCCAGACUCCUACGGGAGGCAGCAGUGAGGAAUAUUGGUCAAUGGCCGAGAGGCUGAACCAGCCAAGUCGCGUGAGGGAUGACGGCCCUACGGGUUGUAAACCUCUUUUGUCGGGGAGCAAAGAGAGUCACGUGUGGCUCAUUGAGAGUACCCGAAGAAAAAGCAUCGGCUAACUCCGUGCCAGCAGCCGCGGUAAUACGGAGGAUGCGAGCGUUAUCCGGAUUUAUUGGGUUUAAAGGGUGCGUAGGCGGAUUUUUAAGUCAGCGGUAAAAUGUCCGGGCUCAACCCGGGCCGGCCGUUGAAACUGGGGAUCUUGAGUGGGCGAGAAGUAUGCGGAAUGCGUGGUGUAGCGGUGAAAUGCAUAGAUAUCGCGCAGAACUCCGAUUGCGAAGGCAGCAUGCCGGCUCCACACUGACGCUGAGGCACGAAAGCGUGGGUAUCGAACAGGAUUAGAUACCCUCGUAGAU
rnacentral:rRNA from 1 species